rnacentral:lncRNA from 1 species
UUGAACCAUAUCACAAUAAGAGAUAACUUAUGUAAACUAUGAUAAUUGUUUAUUCAUUAACUACUACGAAUAAGUAAAAAUAAAAAUAUCAAACUGCUCAAUCUUUUUUAACCAUGGAUCCAUCACCGAUCAAGUGAUCUAUUUUCCCCUCAGAGUGCUCAAAGAAGUCUGCCACAUCCAAGUGGGUGAUGUCAAAAUUAUUGUCAGAGACAAAAUUGGUUUCAGGGCCUUUACUNNNN